rnacentral:rRNA from 1 species
UACGUAGGGUGCGAGCGUUAAUCGGAAUUACUGGGCGUAAAGCGUGCGCAGGCGGUAAGUUAAGUCUGAUGUGAAAGCCCCGGGCUCAACCUGGGAAUGGCAUUGGAAACUGGCUUGCUGGAGUGUGGCAGAGGGGGGUGGAAUUCCGCGUGUAGCAGUGAAAUGCGUAGAUAUCGGGAGGAACACCUGUGGCGAAAGCGGCUCACUGGACCAUAACUGACGCUGAUGCACGAAAGCUGGGGGAGCAAACAGG